AGUGAAACACCGGUUCUAGUACGAUCACCAAAGUUAAGCAACGUCGAGCCUUAUCAAUAGCUAGAUGGGUGACCGCUUGGGAAUAGCAGGUGCUGCAA